UAGGGAAUAUUCCGCAAUGGGCGAAAGCCUGACGGAGCAACGCCGCGUGAGUGAAGAAGGUUUUCGGAUCGUAAAGCUCUGUCAACAGGGACGAAACAAGACGGUACCUGAGAAGGAAGCCACGGCAAACUACG
rnacentral:rRNA from 1 species